AACGAACGCUGGCGGCAGGCUUAACACAUGCAAGUCGAGCGAGACCUUCGGGUCUAGCGGCGGACGGAUGAGUAACGCGUGGGAACGUGCCCUUCUCUACGGAAUAGCCCCGGGAAACUGGGAGUAAUACCGUAUACGCCCUUUGGGGGAAAGAUUUAUCGGAGAAGGAUCGGCCCGCGUUGGAUUAGGUAGUUGGUGAG
rnacentral:rRNA from 1 species